AGAUGAUGAUGAUCUAGAUGAUCUAGAUGAUCUAGAUGAUCUAGAUGAUCUAGAUGAUCUAGAUGAUCUAGAUGAUCUAGAUGAUCUAGAUGAUCU